UUUAUUUUAAAGGUGUUAUUCAAGUCAUUGAAAUUUAAUAAUUCAAAUCCUCCUUGUAUCCUAGGUGCUGAGAGAAUUUCAUUCUUCAAAAGAGGUUUCUUAUUUUUCCAGAAAAAAUAGAACAAAACAGUCUAUAGGUGAAGAGACAACAACAAACCCAUGGAUGUCACGCUAGACAUCUUUUAAAGAGUCAGCAGUGAUUCUCUUUUCCUCGAUCAUCACAUCUGGACCACGCCAUGCUGUCUUCUUUCCAUCUUUGCGGGCUUUUUCAACAAGUGGCCAAAGUUUAUUGCAUCGCUGUCUUUCACCAUAGGUGCGCAUGGUGAAUUGGAUUAUCACAGGACGGGGGCUUUUGUCAUCUCUGGGACGUCCAACUCUGUGAAUCGUGUC